rnacentral:lncRNA from 1 species
GUUCUGUUCUCCCUCAUCCGGAAUUGAAUAAGUCUACCCUUGGUAUGUGUGUUUUCCUUGUUCCCUGGAUGUUAUUAAAAUCUAUGUGCAGUAUAAAAUCGCAGUAGCGAACCAUGACAGCAGCAUAAACCAGCGGCCUCCCUGCAGCCCCACCACGGCUGUGCCCCUUCGCUCUGCAGACUGUCUGCGGCACGGAAACAGCAGCGAUGCCCGGGCCG